GAUGAACGCUGACAGAAUGCUUAACACAUGCAAGUCUACUUGAAGCUAACUUCGGUUAGUGGAGGGUGGCGGACGGGUGAGUAACGCGUAAAGAACUUGCCUCACAGAUUGGGACAACAUUUGGAAACGAAUGCUAAUACCGGAUAUUAUGAUACUUCCGCAUGGAAGAAUCAUGAAAGCUAUAUGCGCUGUGAGAGAGCUUUGCGUCCCAUUGGCUAGUUGGAGAGGUAACGGCUCACCAAGGCGAUGAUGGGUAGCCGGCCUGAGAGGGUGAACGGCCACAAGGGGACUGAGACACGGCCCUUACUCCUACGGGAGGCAGCAGUGGGGAAUAUUGGACAAUGGACCAAAAGUCUGAUCCAGCAAUUCUGUGUGCACGAUGAAGUUUUUCGGAAUGUAAAGUGCUUUCAGUUGGGAAGAAGCAAGUGACGGUACCAACAGAAGAAGCGACGGCUAAAUACGUGCCAGCAGCCGCGGUAAUACGUAUGUCGCAAGCGUUAUCCGGAUUUAUCGGGCGUAAAGCGCGUCUAGGUGGUUAUAUAAGUCUGAUGUGAAAAUGCGGGGCUCAACUCCGUAUUGCGUUGGAAACUGUAUGACUAGAGUACUGGAGAGGUAAGCGGAACUACAAGUGUAGAGGUGAAAUUCGUAGAUAUUUGUAGGAAUGCCGAUGGGGAAGCCAGCUUACUGGACAGAUACUGACGCUAAAGCGCGAAAGCGUGGGUAGCAAACAGG
rnacentral:rRNA from 1 species